UUUUUUUCUCUCUCUAACUUCUCUCUAGCCUCCAUAAACCCCUCCCAAGUCUAGGGAACCUCCCUAGCACGAGAAGAAAGCCCCGGAGCGCCCGACGGCUCCGAGAAGAAAAGCUUUCGGCUCGGAAACGCUGCUCCAGCGAAGCCCGGUUUUUAAUAAAAACCCGUUGUUUUGUCGAGGAAAAUUGUUUUGAGAUAAUGAAGUGUUGUCUGAGUUCGGAAUCACCACCUAUUCAAGUGAGUGCACGGUCUCUUUCAUCUUACAAAUAGAUAUGAAGUAUUUUAUAUAAACUACAUACUAUGUGUGAAUACUAUCUGUAUAAUUACUAUCUAUGCUGGAUAAACGAUUUUAUACAUGUUUUAAAUGAUUUAAACUGUAUAUGUAUUUUAUAUCUACGAUAAUGUUGGGUUAAAACAUGGGUAGAUGUAAUAGAUGGAGUAUGAGUUGGAUGAUGAGUUGAGAGGUGAAAUAGACCGUGAGGUGAGGGUGAGAGGUGGACGAUGUGAGAAGCCUUUUUCCCAAAUGAUGGCCCCGUCAUUCAGCAGAGUAUGGAUGACAACCACGGACUAUUCUAGACAGUCCAGUGGAACACUAGCAUGCUCGCAACCUGUAGGUGUUGUGAACGAUGUGUUCACCGGUGUACUCUAAAAACCCAUUGACAUGUAUUGCGAGUGGAUACUGCCGAUAAACGAAAUAGCCCUGGCAGCUAUGGAUUUAGUGCCUGUUGAGAAAAUCCUGGCAGCUAUGGAUUUAGUGUCCGUUGAGUAAACCUUGGCAACGAUGGAUUUCAUGCCGAUUCCUUAGGAUGAUCCUUAGGAAUGAAUUAAAGAGGAGUAGCUGAUUCUUAGAGUAGACCCUUAAGAGUAAAGAAGAUAAUGGGGGAUGGUUAAUUGGGUUAACUGUUUGAAGAUUAAACAUAAUAAUUAUAUUAUUGUGGGUUGAAAACCCUAUAUACUCACCAGGUUUCCCAACCUGACCCACUCAGUUUAUUUAUAUCACAGGUGUUGAUAUGAAGUCACAUUACACUGAGAGAUUAAGGAGAUAUAGAUCACUAGUGAUAAUGAAUG
rnacentral:lncRNA from 1 species